UUUUCUGAUUCUUUUCGCCGUCUCCAUUUAAAAAAGGCCCUCUGCCAUUCGUUGUAUUCAUCAGUGGAGUGGCAGCUCGGUAAGUAGGGUUUUCGAGCGAGCCAAUUCGUCACGGAUAAGAUCGACAGCGUCUCUUCCAGGUAUGGCUUCUGUGCACAGCACCUUGAUGUCAGUCGUGUGCAACAAUGGAAAUCAUUCUGCUCUGCGGAAACUUCCUAACUCUUCCCUGUCACCCGGGUUCAAUGUGGUUGGGCGAAUUGCUAGUGGAACUAAGAAGGAAACAUGUCAUGCUGCUUGGAGAUCGAGUCCAAGAGCCACAUUGACUUUUGAUCCCCCAUCUACUAAUUCAGAGAGAAGCAAGCAAAGAAAGCACACCAUUGAUCCUUCUUCUCCUGAUUUCCAGCCCAUUCCGUCCUUUGAGCAAUGUUUUCCUAAGAGCUCCAAGGAAUACAGGGAAGUGGUUCAUGAGAAAACUGGUCAUGUACUCAGAGUUCCCUUUCGACGUGUCCAUUUGUCUGGGAGUGAGCCUGAUUUUGACACAUAUGACACCAGUGGUCCCCAGAACGUUAGCCCACGCAUUGGACUUCCUAAACUGAGGAAGGAGUGGGUUGACCGACGGGAGAAGCUAGGGGCACCAAGAUACACCCAGAUGUACUAUGCUAAGCAAGGAAUUAUAACUGAAGAAAUGUUGUAUUGUGCAACGAGGGAAAAGCUGGACCCUGAGUUUGUGAGAUCAGAAGUGGCUCGUGGAAGGGCAAUCAUCCCUUCUAACAAGAAGCACCUGGAGCUGGAGCCCAUGAUUGUUGGAAGAAAUUUCUUGGUCAAGGUUAAUGCAAAUAUUGGAAACUCUGUUGUCGCGAGUUCAAUUGAAGAGGAAGUUUAUAAGGUUCAGUGGGCAACAAUGUGGGGAGCUGACACUGUCAUGGAUCUCUCAACUGGUCGCCACAUUCACGAGACUCGUGAAUGGAUCUUACGAAAUUCAGCUGUUCCUGUGGGUACAGUGCCCAUCUACCAAGCGCUUGAAAAAGUGGACGGCAUUGCUGAGAAUCUUAGCUGGGAAGUAUUCAGAGAAACCCUGAUUGAACAAGCUGAGCAGGGUGUAGACUAUUUCACCAUCCAUGCUGGAGUUUUACUAAGGUACAUACCCUUGACAGCAAAGCGUAUGACGGGUAUCGUUUCACGUGGAGGAUCCAUCCAUGCUAAAUGGUGCUUAGCUUACCACAAGGAGAACUUUGCCUACGAGCAUUGGGAUGAAAUCCUUGACAUCUGCAAUCAGUACGAUGUGGCUCUUUCAAUAGGGGAUGGUCUGAGACCUGGCUCAAUAUAUGAUGCUAACGACACUGCUCAGUUUGCCGAGCUUCUGACUCAAGGUGAACUAACUCGUCGGGCUUGGGAGAAGGAUGUGCAGGUGAUGAAUGAAGGGCCCGGGCAUAUCCCGAUGCACAAGAUCCCAGAGAACAUGCAAAAGCAGUUGGAGUGGUGUAAUGAGGCACCGUUCUACACCCUCGGUCCGUUGACGACAGACAUUGCCCCGGGGUAUGACCACAUCACAUCUGCCAUUGGUGCCGCCAAUAUAGGAGCCUUGGGUACAGCUCUUCUUUGCUAUGUAACACCAAAGGAACACCUUGGGUUACCAAACAGGGAUGAUGUGAAGGCAGGGGUUAUAGCAUACAAGAUAGCUGCUCAUGCAGCUGAUUUAGCGAAAGGGCAUCCACAUGCCCAGGCAUGGGAUGAUACCUUAAGCAAGGCGAGAUUCGAGUUCAGAUGGAUGGACCAAUUUGCUUUAUCGUUGGACCCAAUGACUGCCAUGUCCUUCCAUGACGAGACCCUUCCAUCCGAAGGUGCUAAGGUGGCACACUUUUGCUCCAUGUGUGGGCCAAAGUUUUGCUCUAUGAAGAUAACGGAAGACAUCCGAAAGUAUGCAGAAGAGAACGGUUAUGGCAGUGCUGAGGAAGCCGUGCAACGUGGAAUGGAGGCUAUGAGUGAAGAGUUCAAAGCCGCAAAGAAAACUAUUAGCGGAGAACAGCACGGUGAAGUAGGUGGAGAAAUCUACCUUCCGGAGAGCUAUGUCAAGUCUUCACGGAAGUGAAAAGGAAAGCUGGAAUCGUGGUCUCACUGCCGCUCCUCUCACCCCGAGCCCCUCCUCUCACCCCGAGCCCCGGAGCCGGUUGAAAUGUAUGAAAAUAAGAUAUCCAUAAGAAGGUCUGCCAUGACAGACUGUGGGGGUGCCUGAAACAAGGCUGAGAUAGUCCCUUUGAACCUGAACAGGGUAAUGCCUGCGAAGGGAGCGUGCCUUUUUUUCUUCUAUGGUUUGCAGGGAACAGAUCCUGCUUUUUAUGCUGCUCUCCUUUCCAUGGGUGGUUUCUGCUUUUGAUUCUCAUGGGCAAAAGAGAUAUUCAGCUUCCGGGCCACUUCCCCCUCCAUACAAAACCUUAAUCCCAGGCAAGAUUCUGAAGUUUGAAAAGGGGACCGAUCACGAUCAUGCCAGCCAUGGCAGAGACUUUUGAGCCAAGUAAUCUCAGUGCAUAGGCCCCUUCCAAGUGAUACGGUUCUGAUUUCUUCAGCAGUGAAUCCACUCAUCUGCAGAACUAUAUUGAUCUAGAAACAAAAACAGAACCCGCAUCUUUCACAUUACCCACAAAAAAAAAUGGGAUCCCCCCAAAUCAACAGAGCUAACGAUCGACAGUGGAUUCUCAUCA